CGUAGGGUGCGAGCGUUAAUCGGAAUUACUGGGCGUAAAGCGUGCGCAGGCGGUUUUGUAAGACAGAUGUGAAAUCCCCGGGCUUAACCUGGGACCUGCAUUUGUGACUGCAAGGCUAGAGUACGGUAGAGGGGGAUGGAAUUCCGCGUGUAGCAGUGAAAUGCGUAGAUAUGCGGAGGAACACCGAUGGCGAAGGCAAUCCCCCUGGACCUGUACUGACGCUCAUGCACGAAAGCGUGGGGAGCAAACAGGAUUAGAUACCCUGGUAGUCCACGCCCUAAACGAUGUCAACUGGUUGUUGGGUCUUUACUGACUCAGUAACGAAGCUAACGCGUGAAGUUGACCGCCUGGGGAGUACGGCCGCAAGGUUG
rnacentral:rRNA from 1 species